UAUUAAUAAUUUCAUUCAUUCGUACCGUUAAAAACUAGUGUGAUUGAUGAAAUAAUUAGACAAUGACAUGUCACAUGCCACAUGUAACUAUGCUAAUGUACAGAGACCAAUUUUUAAUAGCAUAAAUGAAUAAAAAUUUUAACU
rfam:Gossypium hirsutum cultivar TM-1 chromosome 17, whole genome shotgun sequence